rnacentral:rRNA from 1 species
GACGAACGCUGGCGGCGUGCUUAACACAUGCAAGUCGAACGGAAAGGCCCUGCUUUUGUGGGGUGCUCGAGUGGCGAACGGGUGAGUAACACGUGAGUAACCUGCCCUUGACUUUGGGAUAACUUCAGGAAACUGGGGCUAAUACCGGAUAGGAGCUCCUGCUUCAUGGUGGGGGUUGGAAAGUUUCGGCGGUUGGGGAUGGACUCGCGGCUUAUCAGCUUGUUGGUGGGGUAGUGGCUUACCAAGGGUUUGACGGGUAGCCGGCCUGAGAGGGUGACCGGAAACAUUGGGACUGAGAGACGGCGCAGACUGAGAGGGGAGGCAGCAGUGGGGAAUAUUGCACAAUGGGCGGAAGCCGGAUGCAGCAACGCAGCGAGCGGGAUGACGGCAUUAGGGGUGUAAACCGAAUUCGCCUGUGACGAAGCGUGAGUGACGGUAAUGGGUAAAGAAGCACCGGCUAACUACGUG